rnacentral:rRNA from 1 species
AGAGUUUGAUCAUGGCUCAGGAUGAACGCUGGCGGCGUGCCUAACACAUGCAAGUCGAGCGAUCUUCUUCGGAAGAGAGCGGCGGACGGGUGAGUAACGCGUGGGUAACCUGCCUCAUACACAUGGAUAACAUACCGAAAGGUAUGCUAAUACAAGAUGAUAUAAGGGAUUCGCAUGGAUUCUUAUCAAAGCUCCGGCGGUAUGAGAUGGACCCGCGUCUGAUUAGCUAGUUGGUAAGGUAACGGCUUACCAAGGCGACGAUCAGUAGCCGACCUGAGAGGGUGAUCGGCCACAUUGGAACUGAGACACGGUCCAAACUCCUACGGGAGGCAGCAGUGGGGAAUAUUGCACAAUGGGCGAAAGCCUGAUGCAGCAACGCCGCGUGAGCGAUGAAGGCCUUCGGGUCGUAAAGCUCUGUCCUCAAGGAAGAUAAUGACGGUACUUGAGGAGGAAGCCCCGGCUAACUACGUG